UGCGCAGGCGGAACUUUAAGUCAGUGGUGAAAUCUUGCCGCUUAACGGUAAAAUUGCCAUUGAUAUUGAAGUUCUUGAAUAUGGUUGAGGUAGGCGGAAUGUGUUGUGUAGCGGUGAAAUGCAUAGAUAUGACACAGAACUCCGAUUGCGAAGGCAGCUUACUAAACCAUUAUUGACGCUGAGGCACGAAAGCGUGGGGAGCGAACAGGAUUAGAUACCCUGGUAGUCC
rnacentral:rRNA from 1 species